UCAGUUUUUGUUGUUUGUAGCAAUUUUGCCAAAGACACAAAAGAAGAAAAAAAGCUAAGUGUUGCCAACUCAAGGAGUAAUUUUCUUUGUUCCAGCACUGCGUCCUGGGAGCUGCCCAUCCCCCUCCACAAAGGCCAGUGCUAAACAAGGCCAGAGCCAGGAAGGACACGCGGGGCCAUGGAUUGAGUGAGGGCAGUGUGUGCGUGUGUGGAUUUCUCUGGUGGCUUUGCAAGGGCAAAUAUUUAUUUUGAGGGAUGGUGGUGGGAGGACCAAGUUUACACUCACUUUGUUUGGUAGGGGAAGUGGCUAAUGUGAGAAUCAAUAGACAAGAUUUUAUCAAGCCCCUGCCCUGGGCAGAGCCCAGUUUUUGAAGCUGGGAGAACAGGCAGAUGUGUGAGACAGUCAGGGCCCUUCAGAUCUCACCCAGGAGCCACUGAUACAGGACUUGAGCUUGGAGGGAGCUGGAGUGGCCGCUUGCUGAGUCUUUCUCCCUGGAGCCUGUGGGCAGCCGGUUACGCUUGCGCUGGGGCGACCCUGACUUAGGACCUCCUGCCGUUUCUCUGGGUGACUGCUCUGUAGUCGUGAGUCGUCUCUUUAAUGCCGAGCGUCAGUACCUGCACAUCCCUGAAUGGAGCAGCUGCCCAGAAUCUGUCUUGUCAUCGAUAGAUGGACAGUUGCCGAGUGUCCCAUGUGCCGACCAAGGAGUUUUUGUCCCUAUCACCCUGUCCCCCGUGGUUUUAUUCAGACGUUAGUUAUGAAUCCGUGUUUAGGAUGAGAAAACGUAAACAGUGAGGAGGGUAAGUGAGAAGCUACCAAGAGUCUGGAUGGUGAUGGCGGGGGAGCGCUGGCGGAGGAGUCGGGGGCGUCCCGCUGGACUGGGGCACAGCUCUGCAGCAGCAGCCGGUGCGGUUUUGCCUUGUAAGUGACACCGUUGCCUGCAGGCAUCUCUGACAGCUGCUCCUGCUCCAGAUUCCAGAAAUUUCUGUGGAACAUUUCCUGAACCAUCCUCCUGGUUUCUUCCCUUCCCCUCACUGAAUAAAAUCCGUAAUAGCA